rnacentral:sRNA from 1 species
CCAAUAGCGUAUAUUAAAGUUGUUGCAGUUAAAAAGCUCGUAGUUGAAUUUCGGGAUCAAUAUGCCGGUCAUGCCUUGGUAUGCACUGGUAUCUUUGAUUUCUCCCUUCUGACGAACUUUGAUGUCAUUAAUUUGGUGUCAUAGGGAAUCAGGACUGUUACUUUGAAAAAAUUAGAGUGUUUAAAGCAAGCUCACGCUUGAAUACAUUAGCAUGGAAUAAUGAAAUAGGACGUUUGAUUCUAUUUUGUUGGUUUCUAGGAUCGACGUAAUGAUUAAUAGGGAUAGUUGGGGGCAUUAGUAUUCAAUUGUCAGAGGUGAAAUUCUUGGAUUUAUUGAAGACUAACUACUGCGAAAGCAUUUGCCAAGGAUGUUUUCAUUAAUCAAGAACGAAAGUUAGGGGAUCGAAGACGAUCAGAUACCGUCGUAGUCUUAACCAUAAACUAUGCCGACUAGGGAUCGGAUGAUGUUAAUUUUUUAAUGACUCAUUCGGCGCCUUACG